AGCGGCGGAUGGGUGAGUAACACGUGGGGAACCUGCCCCUAAGUCUGGGAUACCAUUUGGAAACAGGUGCUAAUACCGGAUAAUAAAGCAGAUCGCAUGAUCAGCUUUUGAAAGGCGGCGUAAGCUGUCGCUAAGGGAUGGCCCCGCGGUGCAUUAGCUAGUUGGUAAGGUAACGGCUUACCAAGGCGACGAUGCGUAGCCGAGUUGAGAGACUGAUCGGCCACAUUGGGACUGAGACACGGCCCAAACUCCUACGGGAGGCAGCAGUAGGGAAUCUUCCACAAUGGACGCAAGUCUGAUGGAGCAACGCCGCGUGAGUGAAGAAGGUUUUCGGAUCGUAAAGCUCUGUUGUUGGUGAAGAAGGAUAGAGGUAGUAACUGGCCUUUAUUUGACGGUAAUCAACCAGAAAGUCACGGCUAACUACGUGCCAGCAGCCGCGGUAAUACGUAGGUGGCAAGCGUUGUCCGGAUUUAUUGGGCGUAAAGCGAGCGCAGGCGGAAAAAUAAGUCUAAUGUGAAAGCCCUCGGCUUAACCGAGGAACUGCAUCGGAAACUGUUUUUCUUGAGUGCAGAAGAGGAGAGUGGAACUCCAUGUGUAGCGGUGGAAUGCGUAGAUAUAUGGAAGAACACCAGUGGCGAAAGCGGCUCUCUGGUCUGCAACUGACGCUGAGGCUCGAAAGCAUGGGUAGCGAACAGGAUUAGAUACCCUGGUAGUCCAUGCCGUAAACGAUGAGUGCUAAGUGU
rnacentral:rRNA from 1 species